UGGGGAAUAUUGCACAAUGGGCGCAAGCCUGAUGCAGCCAUGCCGCGUGUGUGAAGAAGGCCUUCGGGUUGUAAAGCAGCUUUCAGCUGAGGAGGAAGGUGGUGAGCUUAAUACGCUCAUCAAUUGACGUUACUCGCAGAAGAAGCACCGGCUAACUCCGUGCCAGCAGCCGCGGUAAUACGGAGGGUGCAAGCGUUAAUCGGAAUUACUGGGCGUAAAGCGCACGCAGGCGGUUUGUUAAGUCAGAUGUGAAAUCCCCGGGCUCAACCUGGGAACUGCAUUUGAAACUGGCAAGCUAGAGUCUCGUAGAGGGGGGUAGAAUUCCAGGUGUAGCGGUGAAAUGCGUAGAGAUCUGGAGGAAUACCGGUGGCGAAGGCGGCCCCCCUGGACGAAGACUGACGCUCAGGUGCGAAAGCGUGGGGCAGCAAACAGGAUUAGAUACCCUGGU
rnacentral:rRNA from 1 species